AUCCAUCUGACGAGUCCGAAACAGGACGAAACGCGCGUCGUGGAU
rnacentral:hammerhead_ribozyme from 1 species